rnacentral:rRNA from 1 species
CCCUUAGAUGUUCUGGGCCGCACGCGUGCUACACUGAGUAAUUCAAUGGGUAAGGGAACGCUAGAGCAUUACCUAAUCUUGAAAUUUGUUCGUGAUGGGGAUCGACGGUUGCAAUUUUCCGUCGUGAACGAGGAAUACCUUGUAGGCGCAUGUCAUCAUCAUGCGCCGAAUACGUCCCUGCCCUUUGUACACACCGCCCGUCGCUCCUACCGAUUGAGUGAUCCGGUGAGGCUCUGGGACCUGGACGGAAAGAGCGUUUCGCUUGUUCUGUUUGGGAAACUUGGUCGAACCUUAUCAUUUAGAGGAAGGAGAAGUCGUAACA